rnacentral:lncRNA from 1 species
UAUUUCAUUCCCUGCCAAGAUUAUAUCUGCUUUGAGGAUUCAUAAAAGACUUGAGAGUUUAUUAAUCCUCUGCUUUUAAUUAACGUUUUGUUUGUUUUAGUUUUUUGUUUGUUUUUGAGACAGGGUCUUGCUUUUUUACCCAGGCUGGAGUGCAAUGGCUCAAUCACAGCUCACUGUUACCUCAAAUUCCUGAUCUCAAGGGAUCCUCCUGCCUCAGCCUCCUAAGUGACUGGAACUACAGGAUAAUUUCAUCAGUCUCCAACCCUUGUGAUCACGUCCCAAAAUGACUCGUCAGGUGAAGCCCCGGCAGAAGAUUGCUUGUCACCUGUAGGAAGUAGCUGUCUGCUCUGAGUACUCUUUCCUCAUAAAGGAAGAAGAAAUAUGCAUCUGGGUUCAUUUUUGAAGGUUACUAUGGAAAACAUCCAUUUAAGUACAUUUAAGAAUUUUUUUUAAUUAAAAAAAUUUCACAUUUGAGGAAAUGGACUUAAAGAUGGUGGGUAAUUUGCCAAAAGUCACAUAGCUCGUCAGGUUUGCCUUCUUCUUUCAUGAGGACUGUUGAUGUUUUAUUGAAACCCAAUCAGUCUUUAUGGUGUUCCUAUGUGUUAAGCCUGAGCUCCAGGAAUUCUCACUAAUUUGUGAGGAAAUGUUUACACCAAUGGCUGGCUGAACUUUGUUGUUAUGACUCAUUUCCCAUUGGUGAAGAUACAAUUUAUUUAUCCUGUUGGAAUUGGAUGUGUCUAUCUUAUGCAUAUCCCAGAUUUGUUUCUGAGAGGCACACAACACAUUUGAUUUCACAGUUUCACAGCUAGAGAGGAAUUUGCCUCAGAAUAAAUUGUAUCUUGAAUCUCACCAAAAUCUGAUUUAGAUAAUAUUUAGAUAAGACUUUGUACUUUAGAUUUUUGAGUUGAUGCUGGAACAGGCGAAGACUUUUGGGGCUGUUUGGAUAGAAGGAAUGUAUUUUGCAUGUGAGAAGUACAUAAAUUUGGGGAUAUCAGGGGUGGAAUGCUAUAGACUGAAUGUUUGUGUCCUCCCAAAAUUCAUAUGUUGAAAUCCUAGCCCCCAGUCUGAGGAUACUAGGAGGUAGGGCCUCUGGGAGGUACAUCAUGAGAAUAGAGCCCUCAUGAAUAGUAUUAAUAUUCUUAUAAAAGAGACUCCAGAAAAUUUCAUGAUCCCUUCUGCCAUGUGAGGACUCAAUGAGGUGACUUCUAUCUAUGAACUUGGAAUCAGGCACUCACCAGACACUGAAUCUGCUGGCACCUUGACCUUGGACUUUCCAGCCUCCAGAACUUUGGGAAAUAAAUUUCUGUUAUUUAUAAGCCACCCAGUCUUUGCUAUUCUUUU